UUUUUUUUUUUUUUUUUUGAGACAGAGUCUUGCUCUGUCGCCAGGCUGGAGUGCAGUGGUAUCACCUUAGCUGUAACUUUCAACGGAUUGACCCAGUGGUAACGUCUGAAUAGAAGGAGGGUUGAGGGGAUAUGGUGUGGAAUGGGGGAAGGAGGAGUCUGAAAUAGAAGAAAGAUUUGCUUCUCAUUGUCUACCUUUUUUAGUACAGUUUGAAUUUUUCCAUAUGUUUGUAUUACUUUUUCAAUUAAAAAGCCAGGUUUAAAAAAUGACCCCACAUUAAAAAGUAGCAACGUAGGCGGGGUGCUGGGGCUCACGCCUGUAAUCCCAGCAUUUUGGGAGGCCGAGGCGGGCAGAUCACUUUAGGUAAGCAGUUCGAGACCAGCCUGGCCAACAUCGUGAAACCCCCGUCUUACUGAAAAUACAAAAAUUAGCUGGGCGUGGUGGCAGGUGCCUGUAAUCCCAGUUCCUCAGGAGGCUAAGGCAGGAGAAUCGCUUGAACCUGGGAGGCGGAAGUUGCAGCAAACCAAGAUCCCUCCACUGCACUCCAGCCUGGGCAACAGAGUGAGACUGUCUCAAAAAAAAAAAAAAAAGUAGCAACAUAAACAG
rnacentral:lncRNA from 1 species